GCCAAUACAAUUUUAACUCCAUUUAUCCCCUGAUUUACUGCAAAUAAGUGCUUUAAAUCGUUUAAAUAAAAAUAAAACACUACAAAGCUAGACGGAAUAACAAAAAUAUUUUAACACGAGAGCAAUUCUUUUAGCAAACUUCAGAAGUAAAUGAAAGUAUUUAAAUAUCAUUUCAUUUGUACAAUUUGCUUUGAAUAUUGAAUCGAAUGGCGAAAUAUUGUGGGUUUGAAGUCAUUUAACAUAUCUUGAUGGGCGAACGAAAUAAGAUUGUUCCAAAGUAUAUAAGAUUCAUCAUUGUUGUCGUAUUGCAUUAUGAAGCAGUAAAUCGGAUAAAUAAAUUCAUUCUGUGAUUUCAACUAGCUACCAAGUGGCUUCCAAGAACAUGGUCUAUAGUCUCGACUAUGUAAUAGACUCUAUACUGGACUCGACUACAGACUAGAGGUUACGUUAGAUUAUACUAGAUGUAUACUGGACUAUAGACAAGACUAUAUACUAUUCAGUAGACUAGAUUUCGGACUGGCCCUUACACUAGACUAUAAAGAAGACUUUAGACUACUGUAUAGACUGGAUUGGACCAUAGACUACACUAUAUACUGCACUAGACUAGACAUUAUACUAUACUAGAUAAUAGUUAAACUAUAGAAUGGACUAUACUAUAAAUUAGAAUUUGGAUUAAUCUAUAGACUACAAUAUAGACUAGUCUAUAGGCUGGACUAUGGUCUAAACCUUUGAAUAGACCAUAUACUAAAGACUAGACUAUAUGAUACUUGGCUAUAGAUUAGUCUAUAUACUUGGCUAGACUAUACUAUAGACUAGAUUAGCCCAUAAACUAUGCUAAGGAUUAUACUAAACUAGAUAAUAUACUAAACUAGACUGCACACUACUAUAGCCUAGCCUAUAUAGAGUAGACUAGACUAUAGAUAUUAGACUAAACUAUAUAUUGACUACAGUCUAGCAUAUUGCCUAAACCAUAUACAAUACUAUAGACUAGUCUAUACACUGAACUUGAACUAGACCCUAUACUAGAUUAUAGAUUGUGCUAUAUACUAUGAUAUAGAUAAAACUAGACAAUGAAUUAUACUAUAGAAUAUAAUAUAAACUGAACCAGACCAUUUACUAGAUUAUAGACUGUGCUAGACUAUGAAUUAUAUAAUUGAAUAUACUAUAGACUAGAAUAUUAAUUUUUUUUCAAUUUAGAAUAAAGAACAAUUUGAACAAUUUAUGUC